UGAGCAAUCUGCCCUUCUCAUCGGAAUAAGCGUUGGAAACGACGUCUAAUGCCGAAUACGACCUCCUUUCGCAUGAUCGGAGGUGGAAAGCUCCGGCGGAGAAGGAUGAGCUCGCGGCCUAUUAGCUAGUUGGUGUGGGUAAUGGCCCACCAAGGCGACGACGGGUAGCCGGCCUGAGAGGGUGACCGGCCACACUGGGACUGAGACACGGCCCAGACUCCUACGGGAGGNGCAGG
rnacentral:rRNA from 1 species